GGGCCCUGGGCUUGCUAACAGAGGGGCCAGAUGUCCUGUCUUCCUUCACCUGUCCACCUGGCCCAAGACUGGGGCAGGCCCGCAGCUGGGCAUUGGGGGAAACAGGCCCCUGUUGCCCCCUCUUCCCCCCGGGAGCUGGAUUCUGGACGAAUGACGACACAAUACUCGGUCAUCAGUGAUAAAGGCCCCCAGGAGGAGGGGCCGGGCCCAGGAGAACACUGAAGCCACCCCGUCCUGCUCUGACUGUCUGCACCCCCGCUGCCAGCAGCCUUCUCUGGGCCCCAUCAAGCAGGGCUGGAACAUGUCCUGUGCCCCACAGCUGCCGCUUGAAGAAGGACGUGGCAGCCCAAUCCAGCGUUCUUGCCUGAAGAAUCCCAUGGACAGAGGAGCCUAGAGACUAUGAUCCAUGGGAUGGCAAAGAGUCAGACGCGACUGAAGUGACAUAGCACACACUGGGGGGGGCUCCCCAAAGCAGGGACGCUGAGAGGUGCAGGGGAGCACAGCUCACAACCCAGCAAAAUUCUAGGGAAAAGCUUCGACCACCCGUGGAGCUCCUUUCUGACCUGCUGUGUCUGUUCCAGGGUUUAGGGCUUCCUGGUGGUGAAGGGCUGCUUCCUGUUUCCCUCUCCACUCCUCCAAGCCUCCUGCACACACACAGGAAGGCUGAGGGGUCUCCGGAGAUGCCUAAUGGCCAGGACAUUCUCUCCCAGUGCUGGCUGUCCCCAUUACAAGGUUUUCACUUCCUGAUGAAGCCGUUUCCAACAUACUGGCCCCAUGUCUCUGGGUGAAUGUGAGGAACCAUAAGGAGAGGCAAGGAAAUGAGACACUUGGGGAUAUUGUCUCUGCGGCCUUGCAUAGCCUCUGCUCAGGUUUGGGGGAGACCCCUCAAGCACAGACAGGCACCCAGCCUGAGCAGAGCAGACCAGAUGCCCACCUCGCGUGGCUCCUCACCCAAUGGGCAGUAGAGGCAGUGCAGGGGCCACCCCCCAGGGCAGGUGUGGGGCGGGGGCUCUGACUGGUGGCCUCAGGUUUGCGGCCUGUUCCUUGGUGUGGACAACUGUACCUGUCAGGAGGCACAAGGGCUGCUGGGAGCUGAGACCCAGGACACCUUGCUCUGGGGGGAGCUCAUGGCCUGUGUGGAGCAAGGCCUCACAGUCUAAGGGGGGUAUGUAGGCAACACGAUGGGCCCUAGGUUGCAG
ensembl:lncRNA